rnacentral:rRNA from 1 species
GACAGAGGGUGCAAACGUUGCUCGGAAUUACUGGGCGUAAAGCGCGUGUAGGCGGACCCGCAAGUCGGACGUGAAAUCCCUGAGCUCAACUCAGGAACUGCAUCCGAAACUGCGGGUCUGGAGUGGUGGAGAGGGAAGCAGAAUUCCUGGUGUAGAGGUGAAAUUCGUAGAUAUCGAGAGGAACAUCGGUGGCGAAGGCGGCCUUCUGGACGGUGACUGACGCUGAGACGCGAAAGCGUGGGGAGCAAACAGG